ACGCCGGAGAUUUGUCCGGGUUGAAGAGUCCGAAGUGCCUCUCCGUCUCCGCUCCCGUCUUCUUGUCCUCGUUGAACAUGGCGAAGAUGUAGGUCUCGAUGGCGCCGGGGCGCUUCGGCGUGCCCUGCCCGACAUGGUUGAUGAGGUUCUGGUUGUAGGUCUGCGCGUUCCCUGGUGUGGCGGCGUCGCCGCCGUCCGACGGCCACCCGCUCUCGGACACGACGACGCCGACGUUCCCGGCGCCGGCGUUCUCGAGCGCGGACACGAAGGUGUCGACGAGCGCGUCGAAGAGGUUCUGGUACGCGUUGCCGUCGUCGUCCUGCACGACGGUCCCCGGCGACGUGAAGAGCGCGUAGCUGAGGGCGAUCUGGGCCUCGUUGCCCGUGUAGGAGAAGUAGGGGUAGACGUUGCAGAGCAGCGGGGCCCCCGUGCUCUGCAGGUACUGCGCGAUGGGCCCCAUGUAACCCUGCGAGAAGCUGCCCUGCGACGGCGGGAAGCCCUGGGUGACGCCGCUCUCCACCGCCGUGGACACCUUGAUGCCUCCGAGCCCGGCGUUGGCGAGCGCGGAGUUGACGUUCUGCAUGGCGGGGAGGAUGCUGUUGGUGUCCCCGCCGGAGACCUCGUUGCCGACGGCGAUGUACUUGAAGUUGACCCCCGGGAACGCCUGCAAGUUCCUCUGCACCCACGUCGCCGCCGCGCUCGGGUCGGAGGCCAGCGAGGAGAGGUCCGAGUUGGGCACGUCCAUGAUCACGCCGAUGUUGCUGCCGCUCAGCGCGUUCAGCGCGUUGGUGUCCGGGAAGUAGAUGCGCAUGAGGUUGAUGCCGUUGGACUGGUAGAGCUGCACCACGUCGCUCGCCGGCGGCAGGUUGUCGCCGUUCACGCCGUAGCACACGCCGAUGGAUUUGACUCCUGUACGUACGUACAUAAGUGUCAAUAAUGCAUGCAUAUCAGCAUAUCGCGGUGAUCAGCAUUGCACCUAGCUAGAGUAAUGUAUGAUGCGUGAUGCAUGAAAAUCUGAUCUGACCUGUAGGAGUGGCUGGAAAUGCUCGGAGCAGCAAUGCCAGUGCAAGCAUGGAAGCUACAAGAAGCAAUGCCAGUGCAAGCAUGGAAGCGACAACCUGCUUCGACAUCUUGGAAGGAUCAGGAUCAGGAUCAGGAUCAGUUGCGCUACUCCUAUAUGUUUGCAGCAGCUACAGACAGGUAACUGUAACCGAUGCUACACUGGACUGCACUCCACUGCAUGCAAUUCACCGAGGCAUCGAGGCAUAUUUAUAUAGCUAGCUAGCUAGGCAGGGGCACGGCGGAGGCAAAUUCUGAGAGAUGUGCCGUCUCUCUGAUCGCCCAGUUUUAGCGGCACCAAUGCAAUACCUCGUUCCGUUAACAGCUUACACCGGAAGCCGCCGAGACGUACUGAUCUUGCCGCGGCAGCGACAGAUGAAGACGUAGACCUGACCUCGUCGCGAGCAAGCAUGUUGGGUGUUGGCUUUCUCAAAUCUGCGGUUGGACUUCGACGUCAUCGAGCACUCAGGAGCUACCGCAACGCGGGCUCGGCGUGGCGAUGCUCGAGCGGUUCUGUUGCAGGGGCGCGCGACCACCUGCUCGAGCUGUUCGCUGUGGUCCAGGAUGGUGAAUUUGUGAUAGAGAUGUCAACUCUGCUAAUUAAUGGGUUUUCUUCUUGAAAUAAUCUCUAGUAAAACUCCAAAUCAACCCCCAAAUGCAUAGACAUCAAUCUUUCUUUGUUGACCUUCCUGUAUGAAAAAUAUUCAGAACCCAAGUACCUCGACAGUAGCAGUUUUUCAUAUCUGAUGUAACUGUGAGUUAAUAUACUAGCUAACUGCUAACCAAAGUCUUGAGAUGAUACAGAGUCACAGAUCCAAAAGGUUCCAGUGAUGUCGGUACAUGUUAGCAAAGGAAGUUGAAACUGACACUUGCUUUGCUAACCCAAAAUCACACGACUGAAUGAAAUUUCCACUAGGUAACAAUGUCACAAAGGAUCAACAUCGGCAAAAGUGAUGUUACAAAUGGUUUCCCAAUCGCAUUACUGCUUCCGUGUCAAGCUGAAUAAGAACUUGUGAUCACUCUGUAGUUGACAUGUCGUAUCACCUGUGAAUUUGUGAUCACUGCCCUACGAAUAUAGGCCUUGUUUAGUUCACCCUGAAAACCAAAAAGUUUUCAAGAUUUCCCGUCACAUCGAAUCUUCUAGCACAUGCAUGAAACAUUAAAUAUAGACGAAAACAAAAACUAAUUACACAGUUUAGUUGUAAAUCAUGAAACGAAUCUUUUGAUCCUAGUUAGUCCAUAAUUGGAUAAUAUUUGUCACAAUCAAACGAAAGUGCUAUAGUACCGAAAACUUUUCACUCUUCGGAACUAAACAAGGCAAUAAAUUAUAUUCCUUUACCCAAUGCAGACUUUGAACACCAGAUAAUCCAUUUCAACGGGUGGAGGUGGAUGAUGCAGACUGGGCCUGGUGGCGGCAAAUUCACUAGGGCCAGUAGCGCGCUGGGUGGCCCUGUGUCCUGGCAGCGUCAUCCCCGUUCACGGCGGACAGCUAGAGCAGCGGGGCGCCCUCGCGAUAUGGAGCCGCUCGAGCUCUGCCAUGUCGUCGAGACCGUGCUGUGGCGUCUUCUUGUGUCGACAUCGCAGCUGAUGCUGGCAUGAGCUAGCGCCCUAUGAAUGUCAUGAUCUGCCGGCCUCGUUUUCGCACACAUCUUUAGGUGGCUUCUGACGAAAGAAAACGCUUUGCCGUUCACGACUAACCUGAAAUUAAUCACUUUAUAGAGAGAUUGAGAGGAAAACACUGUUUAGAAUUAAACUGCCAAAUUAAGGAGUCUUCUUCGUCAAACAAACUGUAGAGGCUAACUAAAUUACUUCUAACUAGAGGUUCAUCAACCAGUUAUCAACACACCUUCUGACUUUCCACCCCCAAAGAUUAGCCACCGUUUCCGACUUUCCAUGGACCAGAAUAUAAAUUUCCCAAAAAUGUAUAGCUCAACUAGAGUUUCCCAACCAGUUAUCCUUUAAAAACUUAAUCUUCUUCUUGUUACCUAUUUCCUGUCUGAACUCCAUUUUCGCAGCAGAGGCUGCCCACAGCAAGCCUUUAAAAAAUGGUGAAGUCAUGCACUCGUGCUAGCAGUAUUGUAUUUAUAGUCAACAACAAUACAACAUGGCUACUUAACUUACUCCACAAGGCUAACAGACACUUCUUUAAAUCUCUCAAAUUUGGUACCAAGCCGCCCAAAAUCUUUGAACAUACUACUAACACUCUCCCAAUUUGCAAGAUGAUAUGUUCUAAUUUUGAACCGAAUUUUAAUUGAUUAUAAUGAGAUAUUACUCCCAUUUAAUAAUGAUCGAUGCACAUAAUGUCGAGACGAAAUUAGGAGAAAGCAUAUAACUACAUGGGCAAAGAAGAAAUAAAUCAAGAAUGUACUUCUUGUUAUUCAUUUUUAUGUAAUAAUCGAAGCACUUGCCUUACAUGGAUGCACUUUGCAUUUUACAGGCAGUUUAUUCAAUGUUUUGGUAUGUAGUAUAUAAGGUAUAUAUGUGUAUCUGUAUGGUAUCUCGUAUAGUUAAAUUUUAUGUCUUGUUCGAUCGUGUAUAUAUGGACCGGGCCGCGCGAGCGUCCCACUUGGUUGGUUUUUAGGAGAAAUUGAUGGAGUACGCCGGCGAUUUGUCCGGGUUGAAGAGUCCGAAGUGCCUCUCCGUCUCGGCUCCCGUCUUCUUGUCCUCGUUGAACAUGGCGAAGAUGUAGGUCUCGAUGGCGCCGGGGCGCUUGGGCGUGCCCUUCCCGACAUGGUUGAUGAGGUUCUGGUUGUAGGUCUGCGCGUUCCCCGGCGUGGCGGCGUCGCCGCCGGCGGACGGCCAGCCGCUCUCGGACACGACGACGCCGACGUUCCCGGCGCCGGCGUUCUCGAGCGCGGACACGAAGGUGUCGACGAGCGCGUCGAAGAGGUUCUGGUACGCGUUGCUGCCGUCCUGCACGACGGUCCCCGGCGACGUGAAGAGCGCGUAGCUGAGGGCGAUCUGGGCCUCGUUGCCCGUGUAGGAGAAGUAGGGGUAGACGUUGCAGAGCAGCGGGGCCCCCGUGCUCUGCAGGUACUGCGCGAUGGGCGCCAUGUAGCUCUGCGAGAAGCUGCCCUGCGACGGCGGGUACCCCUGCGUGACGCCGCUCUGCACCGCCGUGGACACCUUGAUCUUUCCCAGCCCGGCGUUGGACAGCGCCGAGUUGACGUUCUUCAUGGCGGGGAGGAU
rnacentral:lncRNA from 1 species